rnacentral:misc_RNA from 1 species
UAAUAGAACUUUUUAAAUAUUCCUGAAUAAUAAUUGAUACGAGUGGAAGAAGUAUAAGCCUUGGAUGGAUAUUAGGUGGUACUUCUAAGAGUACAAAGGGUUACAGCAAGAGUAGAAGGUUCCUCAUCAGUGAACCUGCAAUGCUUAAGUUAGUCUAGUGACCAAGGAUAUCACUAAGGAUAUCCUUGAGGAAAUAGAUGUAGAGAAUAGGGUUUUGAUACUAGAUUGUAGGUGUCCUUACUUGACUCUUGGCUUCUACUAUUUAUACCUGCUAGGGCAUACAAGAGUGGAACAAGUUACAUCCUCCAGAGGAUGGGGCACGACUGCCUUGUAUGUGCAAUUACGGGUUGGCAAGUGGCUUGCAUGUGGAGCCUCUUGUAGAGAUGUUUGGGCUUAUUAAGUAACCCUACAAUGUCUAGGGAGAUUGGCUUUUGGAGUUGUAAUAAUGAUGAUAUCUUCCUAUGAACGAUUCAUUGAGGGGCUUCUUAGGAAGACCCAUGUAUGCUUGACAUCACAUUAAUGAUUAAUGCGCUAUAAAUCCCCUAUCCAGGUAGAAGUCAAACUCGGGUCGAUCAUCUAUAUUGUGCCAGUUUGGCAUUGAACCCUAUGGCCUUCAAUUGGUCAUGGUCCAUCUUGCUAGCAAUUCAAUAAGCUCUCAAUUCGGACACACAAAUUCGUACAGGUUGGUGGGUGAUGACACGUGUUAGUAUCUCAAAGGUCAAGUUAUUUUAUCCCAUAUCAAUAAUAUAAUUCCUAAAUAAUAG